UUAAGAUACCAUAAGAUUCAAUCAAAAGAGUAAAUAUUCCAGCUCAAAUCCAAUGAACACUAAAGGCCGAACCUCUUCAGAUGGUAUGAAUAACUGAGUAAAAUAUUGCUUAUAAUAAAGCAGGAUGUUACAGUUUGAUUCACCAAAACAGAUAAUCUAGACUGCAAACAUCAAGUCCAUGAUCUUGGAUGCAAAGGAUUUUGUUGGGGAAGCAAUGGUACCUCCAGUCUGCCUUGUAGUUGCAUUGCCAUUCUGCAGAUAAUAUGGCCGAGAAGGAGCUCUUGAUGUGCUUACUUCUGAGUUCCUAGCAGUGGGUAGAGGUAGGGGCAUAAAUCCUUGAUUGUUAAGCCUUUCGGUCAAAGCUUGACGUUGCAUGGGAUCCAAGGGUUUCACACCAAUAAUUAGGACUCCAUUAAUUUGUAUUCCAUUCUUGUUGAGAGCAUUUUGUGCAGCAGAUCGAUUCUGCAUCACCAAGAAAUUUAUUUAG
rnacentral:lncRNA from 1 species